UACGUAUGGUGCAAACGUUAUCCGGAUUUACUGGGUGUAAAGGGAGCGCAGGCGGCACGGCAAGCCUGAUGUGAAAGCCCGCGGCCCAACCGCGGGACUGCAUUGGGAACUACCGGGCUGGAGUGCCGGAGAGGUAGGCGGAAUUCCUAGUGUAGCGGUGAAAUGCGUAGAUAUUAGGAGGAACACCAGUGGCGAAGGCGGCCUACUGGACGGUGACUGACGCUGAGGCUCGAAAGCGUGGGGAGCAAACAGG
rnacentral:rRNA from 1 species